rnacentral:rRNA from 1 species
GAUGAACGCUGGCGGCGUGCUUAAUACAUGCAAGUCGAGCGAACAGACGAUGAGCUUGCUCCGCGGACGAUAGCGGCGCACGUGUGUAUAACACGUGUAUAACCUACCUAUAAGAGUGGUAUAACCUGGGGAAACCGGAUCUUACACCGUAGAAGCUACUGAUGCGCGUGGUUGGAUAGUGAGAUACGGUGUUGCGGUCACGAAUAGAUGGAUCUGCGCCGCAUUAGCUGGUUGGUGAGGUAACGGCUUACCAAGGCAACGAGGCGUAGCCGACGUGAGAGGGUGAUAGGCCACACUGGAACUGGGCCACGGUCCAGACUCCUGAGGGAGGCAGCAGUCGGGAAUCUUCCGCAAUGGGCGAAAGCCUGACGGAGCAACGCGGAGUGAGUGAUGACGGUCUUCGGAUCGUAAAACUCUGUUAUUAGGGAAGAACAAAUGUGUAAGUAACUAUGCACGUCUUGACGGUACCUAAUAAGAAAGCCACGGCUAACUACGUG